rnacentral:lncRNA from 1 species
AUUCUCCCCAUUAGUUUUAAGUUCCUAGAGAAUAUGGACCAGAAGUCAAUUAAUCCAACCCCCUUUUUAUUUAUACAUGAGGAAACUGAGUGUGUAAGGCUACCCACUAGGUAGAUGUACUGAGAUUUGAACCAGAUUCUCCCAUUCCAAAUUCUCCUUGUCAUAGCUUUGUGUCUUCAGAGUUUAGCAUGAUAAAUGUAAAGUGUCUUAUAGAAUGCAUAUGAGGUACCUUCUAAUUCUGACGAUUUUUAUUCUACCUGGCAUUCAGUAGGUGCUUAUCAAAUGUUUUUUCACUUAUAUUGGAUUGGAUUCGAGUUACUAUUGCUACGUUUUUCUGUCCCUAGAUUUUUCUCCUAGAAUGUCAGACCUGGACCAAAAUUGGAAUCAGAGAUUCAUAGACUAUUUGAACUAGAAUCUUCAUGUUCUGAUGAUCAAUAAUCAUAUUGCAUUUGUUCUUCUAACCAAGCAUGCCAGAAACACUCCCCUACAGUCCUCCUUAGAAGCAUCAACAUAGGUGAGAGGUGACCCUGGAAUCUUGAAGGCUAUUCCAUCACCAAUGGAACACAUGCUCAGGAACUUCCCAAACAAUGAGCUAGAUCUGGCAAUGCAUGUACCAACCUCUUCAUCUAUGUGGACAUCCCUAGAAAGUAGACUGCCAAAGUCCAUGAAUCAGUUUUCCACUGGUGCCCCAAGAAAUAAGAGGAAAAAGGAAGGAAGGCCUCUGGAAGAAUCAUAGAUCAGGCAGACAUGAAUGUGUAUAAUAAAUAUUGUUGCAGAAAAUUUCCA